UGAAAUUAGGGCUCAUAUGCCCCCGUCCUCACUUAUUGCUCGGUCAAAUGAACGGGAUACAACGAUGGCAAGGAACGAAGGCGGACGAACGCAGAGGGGGAAAAGGGAGUACGAAGGAUCGCAUUUGGUUGAUCGAUUUCUAGAAGGAGGUCGUCUCCAGGGGUCGACGAGGCCGAAGAACGAAGAUGGGAAAAAGCAGCGAAGCUUUCUUCCUGCUCCGAUGGUGAUGUGCGAAGGGGGAAAGGGAAUCGGUCUGCCUGGAGCGAUGCGAGCAGCAAAAACGGCACAACCGAGGCUUCGAUGGCCGCUGCUCGAUAGGAGAAAAGAGAAGGUACGAGGGUGAGGCCAGAAGAGUGUUUCAUCGGUGUCAGUGGGUGCAGCGAUGAGAUGUGAGGUUAGCUGCUCCAAUGGAGCAAUCAAACGACGAAAGAAUCUCCGGUGAGGCAUCCGACGACAGUACAAGCGGAGAAGGGUGGUGCGAUGGGGCUAUUUACGAUCGGUGGUGACAGGUGCGUGGAUAGGGCUGCUUCAGCAGCUCCCUUGUUCUUCUUGUUUUUUUUUNUUUUUUUUUUUUUUUUUUUUUUUUUUUUUUUUUUUUUUUUUUUUUUGACAGAAAUCAAUUGAAGGAAAUGGUGUUUGGUUUUGAUGUUUGAUAGGGGGAGAGGCAAAAACAGAUUGGCGAUCUUCAAGGGGGUGUUUAGGUGGUUCAGUCGAUGGAACAAAUGGAGAGGAGGGGUCAGGGCGGAAGACAAACAUUUCAAGCGAGGGGGCCCAAAUUAGAACUUCAAAACAAAUACUUAUUAUGAUUGUUACUCAUUUAUAAUACAUGCAUUUAAAUGAGAG
rnacentral:lncRNA from 1 species